GGUUGUGCUGCAUUCACCUUUUGAGCUUUUCGGGUGCUGACUGGUUGAAGCCCUAAGCAUGCUGGUAUGAUCUCAAUGCUAAUCUUGUUCUGAUUGAGCCAAGAACCUCCAGAAGUCCUUUCCAGUGUGAUUGUUACAGCAUCUCAACUGAAGCACUUUUGCAAUACAUCUUGCUUUAUUUUGUGAUGGAGACAGAACUUAUGAGAAGGUUCAUCCUCAGUUUCUAAAUCCCAAAUUCCAGAAUCAUGUAAAGAGUUGGAUGACAGUUCUUAUUUGAGAAUGUGUGACAUAUACUGCAAAGUGAAAGAAUCUGAAUAGCAAGUAAGGUAAAUGACCUCUGCAUCUCAUUGUUAUUUAGUGUAAAAUUGUACAGGCUCCUUCAGAUGGUAAGAAUGCAAUUGUUCUGUUAGAAAGUCAGGGUUACCCGUCAUGGAAUGUUCUUCCACGUGCCUGUGUGAAGUUGUUAGACCAUUAUGAUGACUGCAGAACAAAGCAGAUGCACAAGCUGGUGCUUGCUGUCUCCAUUUUCUGCCUUGGGUUGACUCCUACCUAGGUGUCAAUUUCUUUGAUAUUCUCUGACUGGGACUGCCUCAGUAGAUUUCCAACAUGGGCUUGUUUAAUCUGUGGUGUGUUUUAAGUUCAGCCAGUAACAGUGAUGAUUGGGAUGAAGCCACCCAUGGAGGUGGGAGGGAGGUUUUUAUGUUCAGAAAUGUGCAGAUUCCAGCCAUCUAGAAUGAAGAAUGAGGAUCACAUUAUUCUGAAUCAAUCUGGCAAUCUGUAAGGACUGAAACAACAUGAGAGUUUAUCAGGACUCUUAGGAGUCAGAAGGUCAAAGCUUGCUUUCAGCCACAAGAAUAAUACAUUUCCAUCAUGAGAGAUGCUUACUAAAAUGUCUCCUGAUCCUUUUUUAGGUUGAACUGCUUCGGUCUUUGUGCUGCUAAAACAUUGCUGGGUUUUUGUUUUUGUUUUUUUUUGCUCCAGUGAAAAAUGACAAUGUGAAAAUGAAUGUCCAUAUGGGAACUUCUCAGAGGAUUUUUCAGUUUAUGGUGUCUGCCUGGUUAUGUGCAGACUGGGUGGUGGGAAGAGGAAGUCAUAUGUUGGAAUGACAGAGCAGGAGAGUACACAUAAUCAGGUCUUGUAGCUGUGUGCGUGCUAUCUCACUUCAGAGGACACGCUUGUUAUCAGCCCUGGAGUUAC
rnacentral:lncRNA from 1 species